ACGCUCGACACCUACGGGGAGACAGCAGUGAGGAAUAUUGGUCAAUGGGCGCAGGCCUGAACCAGCCAAGUAGCGUGAAGGAUGACUGCCCUAUGGGUUGUAAACUUCUUUUAUAUGGGAAUAAAGUUUUCCACGUGUGGAAUUUUGUAUGUACCAUAUGAAUAAGGAUCGGCUAACUCCGUGCCUGCAGCCGCGGUAAUCUGAGCGGGCUGGCAAGGC
rnacentral:rRNA from 1 species